rnacentral:lncRNA from 1 species
GCUAGGUUUAGGAAAGAUAUAGAAGGUUAUCCAAUCCAGGUGCUUUUUUUCUUAAUUGGGGAAACUGACCCAACCUUGCCAAAGAUGAUAUCACCAUCUCUUCCAUUGUGAUGGUAGCCUGUGUCUUUGUUAACUAAGCUACAAAAGAAAUUAUAGAAUACAGAAGUUAUGGGUGACAGUCAGACAAGAAGCCUAUAGAGGGAAUCAGAGAACUUUCAUUUUCUUCACAGAUAAGGGUAAAAUUAUUUCCUGACUUGGAAAGAAGAAAAAUUGGUGAACAAUGAACUGAGAUCUAAGACAGUUUAGAAGAGUGCACAGUUGCCUUCAGUAAAUUCAAGGAACUGGUCCAAGGGCGAGUCCUGCCUGAGAUUUCUCUUGCAAACCGAAGCAAAGAAUUAAUUUUAGCUCCUGGUAUGCUCUGCCUCCCCUCUCAAUAAAGGAAAGCAGCUUGGCUUUUUGGAAUUAUGUCAAGACAGAUGGAUCUUAUAGAACACAGAAUGGGAGUCUCCAGGAAGAGAGAAGAAGGGAGAUAUGGCGGUUUUCCAAUGGAAGCAGGAUGACAAUGACAACAGCUACUGCCAGCCAAAUUUGCAGUACAUUUCUUUAAGACCACAAGACAUGGUCUUCUUAAUGGGCAAGUUGGGAGGUACAUGUAUAUUGUGGAUUUUUAUCUUUCAUUCACUUUGGUAGCAGGAGUGCUGAGACUCACCUGGCUUC